rnacentral:lncRNA from 1 species
UUUUUCCAUUUUCGUAAAGUUUAUUCAUGUAUGGAUUGUUAGUCUGACAACUAAAAGGUAGAACAAAUUGGUUAUUAGUUACUCAUAUCCCUUCAAAUCCCAUAGCAACAGCUUCACACUAAAAGGUACAUAGAACAAAUUGGUUGUUAGUACUUCUAUCUAUUUCUUUCAGAGAAGUUUAAUUGGUUAUAUUUUUUGACUGAAUUCUUCAUUGGUUAGUAGUGUUCUUAUUCAUUCUGGAGAAAUGUAGUUUUGAUCUCAGAAUUCCUCAUGAUUUAGCUUGCUUUUGCUUAAAUUUGAUUGCUUUUCUCAAACCCCAUAAGCAAGAUAUGAACCUUUUUGCUCCAUAUGUGUCAAUUUUUGAAGUUAUUGAUGAUUUCGACAGACAUGGUUUAUUGAGCUGGGUCCCCCAACUUCUAAAAAACAAAAUGCUUGCAUUCACAAGUAAAAAGGGCUUUAAUUAGCUGCUCUUUGUAUGAUUUCAAUUCUAUUAUUGAAGAAUUUGAAAACUUUAAUUGCUUAUUAAGCUAGGUCAGGUGGCUUUAACUAUAAAGCUAAGUUCAGGGGAGCUACUGCCAAGUCCCUAUCUUUCCUACAAGAGCCAAGAAGAUAAGGGCCUCCCAAAAAAUGGUUUCUUAUGCAACCAUGUGUGCACUUUGGACGGUUUUGGAGACUUUUGAGAAGGGCAAGAGGACUCUUCAGGAUUGAAGGCAUUUUGGAAUAAAUUGGGCUUUGAUUGAUCCAAAGGACCUCGGUUGAAGUUUUUGGUUUCUGUCAAGGAGUUGCUGCCAUGGGUCAUGAUGCCUCUUCAGAUAGUGUGAAAGUCAAAUGUUCAACAACUCAUAAAUGUUUGAUCUCAGCUCCCAUAAUGUUAUAGAUUC